UGCAGAAAAUGUCGACUUCGAGAAUGUGAUGUACUUCGGCAAAUUUAUCACUGAUUGGCUCUAACUAUAAGACCUGCUGUACACAGAUCUUUCAGUUUGGUGAGGUGAGAUAUAGGUAGUCUGUGGAGAACAGGACAUCAUCACCACUAGAGAUUGCCUACAGAAGACGCAGGAGUUUGCAGGAAUAUAUAUGAAAACCUCAAAGCCACUGCGUUUACGGAGUCGCCCCAUCAGAGAAUCACAUAAAUAAUCAUGCUGGAAAAACUACAGAGGGAGAGAAAUAGAUGAGAAGCGAGAAAGGUAGCGUAUUAGCAUAUGAGUUACAGAAUACGCGUGUAGGAU